UAGACAUAUAUAUGUACGUAAGUUGUAUAUAGUAAAAGUAUGAUAAUAUUUAUGAAAAUACAAAUGCAUGGGUAUAUACGAUGUAGUAAACUUGUUAAUACAUCAAGUUCUCGUUCUCCAAAAAAAUCCACUAAAAAUCUAUACACUAUGGCAGGACGAAAUAAACAGGCACAUCAACCCACUAAGUAGACAACUGAUAGUAAGUUAAUGAGUAAGACCCAAUCAUAACUUAUUAAACAAAGAUAAAUCAAAUGAGCUAAUAUGGCUUAAAUACUAGAAAAAGUUGAAUCUCUUUGUCAUCUAUUAAUAAGACAAGAGGAGACAAGAAUGUGACGCCGAUGCAGGGAAAUUGGCAAAUUCAUGAUUGAAAUUAUUCAAUCACACCUCUGGAACGCAAAACUCCAAAGUUUCUACUAAUUACAGCUAUGUAGACAUGAAUUUCCAUAAAAAAAAAUAAAAUGAGAAAACUUGCACAUUAUCCAGAAUCCAACACAAUAUUCCAACAAAUUAUUAAACGGCGUUGACUUGGUUCUUCAAACUAUAAGCCCAUUGGACACUACAAAAUGUGGACUCUAAGCAAAAAAUCUUUUGUACAGAUCAAAUUAUUUACCCAUGCAUGAGAUAUUGCAUUGAGUACAGGAGGAGUUAGAGAUUGACUUCCUUAAAACUGAUAAUUUCCAUAAUAGAGGGAGAAAGAUACAAUUUAUUUUGAUAAUUAGAACUCUUGCAAAGUCUUUACUCUUUAGGAUAAAAGAUUUCAGAUGCUAUUUAUUUUAUGGAUCAACUGCUCUGAUGUCUUUCAGCAUGUCUCUUUCAGUCUCUUAAUGGAAAUUAAACGAAAACUGCAUGGUUUGUGAUUGUAUAAAAUCAAUAUAAGAAUUUUUGUGAAGAAAGCAAUUUAAAAGUAUACAACUAAAAUAC